UCCACGCCCAGGAUUCGAGCUGGUGAAACCCUGGGCCACUGCAGCGCAGCACGUGAACUUAACCUCUCGGCCACGAAUCCGGCCCCCACUUGGAGCUAAUCUUUUAUAACUUCAGGACUGACUUUGAAACUGUGUGAGGAGCUGCCAGAUGCCAUUCUGUCAUCACUUGGACGGUGCCUUAUAAACACCUCUCAACUAACCAGCAAAGAGCGACUUGGUUUAUUGAUGGUGGUUGUAAGGUAAAUGGACAACAUCCUCUUUGAAGGCCACUACUCUGAUCCAAGAAGAAAUUGUACAGACUAAUUCAAGGAUGGAAAAUGCAUAGCACUUGUGCUACCACUCUACCUGCACAUCCCUGUGGCACAUAUUGACAGUUGAUAGCAAACUCAUUCUCAUUCAGCCUGAACUCAGCCUCCGAUUCCUUCUUAACACAGAAUUCCAGGCAUUCACUAUCAAUUAGUUGUAGUUGUCACAAAGUGGACAUAUUUGAAAUAAAUGCUUUUAGGAAAAAUGUCACAGAAUAAUAUGGUUCUAGAGUUGGUGAAUAAGGAAGAAAUUUUUGUCUCUCUCUGCAAAAUAAAAAUAUCUUUUGGGAAUUGUUCUAAGUUAAUUAGUUGUGUGAAGUCGAUUAUGUUUAUAGUCUUAAAAAGUAUAUUUUCCUAUGCUUUUUUUACCUUAAAAUCCAAAUUAUCAAAGUAGAUUCAUUUCUUUUUUCUUUUUUAAAUUGGCACCUGAGCUAACAACUGUUGC